GGUAUUUAUUGACAACUAGUUUGACUUUUCCAUCUCGACAAAUUAGAUAUACUCAUUUUUCUCGUUUUUUUAAACUUCAUAACUAUUUUUCUGUUUUUCUAUCGGUUGAAUUAUUAAUCGUGUAUAAAGUAUUAUGGAACAUAAAAAGAUAUAUGAAUUUUUGAAAAUAGUACUUCUACAUCUAUUUGGAUGUCAAACUGUCUCCCCGUCCUUAUUAUCUCUCACAAACCUGCUAUUCCGAAAGAGAAAAAAAAAAGCUCAUAGAAUCUAAAUUGGCCCAUUGACCCGG
rnacentral:lncRNA from 1 species